ACACUUACCUGGCAGGGGAGAUACCAUGAUCAUGAAGGUGGUUUUCUCAGGGCGAGGCUUAACUCUUGCACUCUGGAUGUGCUGACCCCUGUGAUUUCCCCAAAUGUGGUAAACUCAACUGCAUAAUUUGUGGUAGUGGGGGAAUGAAUUCCCACUCUCUCCUA